rnacentral:rRNA from 1 species
AUUGAACGCUGGCGGCAUGCCUUACACAUGCAGGUCGAACGGUAACGGGCCUUCGGGUGCCGACGAGUGGCGAACGGGUGAGUAAUACAUCGGAACGUGCCCGAUCGUGGGGGAUAACGAGGCGAAAGCUUUGCUAAUACCGCAUACGAUCUACGGAUGAAAGCAGGGGACCGCAAGGCCUUGCGCGGACGGAGCGGCCGAUGGCAGAUUGGGUAGUUGGUGGGAUAAAAGCUUACCAAGCCGACGAUCUGUAGCUGGUCUGAGAGGAUGAUCAGCCACACUGGGACUGAGACACGGCCCAGACUCCUACGGGAGGCAGCAGUGGGGAAUUUUGGACAAUGGGCGCAAGCCUGAUCCAGCCAUGCCGCGUGCAGGAUGAAGGCCUUCGGGUUGUAAACUGCUUUUGUACGGAACGAAAAGCCUUCUUUUAAUACAGGAGGGUCAUGACGGUACCGUAAGAAUAAGCACCGGCUAACUACGUG